rnacentral:rRNA from 1 species
ACUGUCGACGGUAGGUUCGACGCCUACCGUGGUGGUAACGGGUAACGGGGAAUCAGGGUUCGAUUCCGGAGAGGGAGCCUGAGAAACGGCUACCACAUCCAAGGAAGGCAGCAGGCGCGCAAAUUACCCACUCCCAGCUCGGGGAGGUAGUGACGAAAAAUAACGAUACGGGACUCAUUUGAGGCCCCGUAAUCGGAAUGAGUACACUUUAAAACCUUGGUCACACGAGGAUCAAUUGGAGGGCAAGUCUGGUGCCAGCAGCCGCGGUAAUUCCAGCUCCAAUAGCGUAUAUUAAAGUUGUUGCGGUUAAAAAGCUCGUAGUCGGAUCUGUGUCCUCGCGGCGUCGGACCACUGAGUGUUCGCCGGGUCUCGCUUCGCGCGUACCCGCGAACCAAGUGAAAGUUCCCGGCGUGUCAGCGGGACGUCCUGCCGGCGGGCGGACACGUGCUCGUUUUGCGUCGACCGCGUCUCAACGACGUGGAGUCGGUGCGCGAGUGGCGGCCGCCGUUUAAAUCCUGUUCGUACGCGUUCCGCGGUAAAUCCGUGCGUUCGCGUGCGGCGGGCCGGCACGUUUACUUUGAACAAAUUAGAGUGCUCAAAGCAGGCUCGCAAGUGGCGGGGCGUGCGCCUUAAAACGUACGUCUCGUCGUAUAGCCCUGAAUAUGGUCGCAUGGAAUAAUGGAACAAGACCUCGGUCCCGCCUCUACGCUGCUCGCAGCGCGUGAAGACAGCCCUCGCGGCGCUUCCGUGCGCGGGUCGCCGGGCGGGGUCCCGCGUUCGCGUCCGUCUAAGCGGCUGUUCGCAGCUCGCUAUAGCGGGUUACGCAUCGUCGGUGAUCAACCCCGUUCGUUGGCCGGUUUUCGGGACCGGAGGUAAUGAUCAACAGAGACAGGCGUGGGCAUUCGUACCGCGACGUUAGAGGUGAAAUUCUUGGAUCGUCGCGAGACGAACCGAAGCGAAAGCAUUUGCCAAGUAUGUUCUCGUCUGAUCAAGAACGAAAGUUAGAGGUUCGAAGGCGAUCAGAUACCGCCCUAGUUCUAACCGUAAACGAUGCCAGCUAGCGAUCCGCCGGUGUUCCUCCGAUGACCCGGCGGGCAGCUUCCGGGAAACCGAAGCUUUUCGGUUCCGGGGGAAGUAUGGUUGCAAAGCUGAAACUUAAAGGAAUUGACGGAAGGGCACCACCAGGAGUGGAGCCUGCGGCUUAAUUUGACUCAACACGGGAAACCUCACCAGGCCCGGACACUGGAAGGAUUGACAGAUUGAGAGCUCUUUCUUGAUUCAGUGGG